UUUUUAAGAUAUUUAUUGUUAUUAUUUAUGUGACUUUUUUUUUGGGACUGUAAGAUUUGUACAUGAUAUAUUAGUUCUUUUUAUUUCUGUACAGCAGUGCAAACACUUCCAAUGUGUGUGUCCGCAUGCUGAAUGACUCUGUGUGUACGUGUGCAUCACGGAGGACAAGCGUUGACAUUAUGAUGGUGUGUACUGUGUUUUGAGUAUAUGAUGUGUCCUCGCCCACAUCUUCCUGCCCACUGCCAGUGGAUUUUAUUUAUUUAUUUAUUUAUUUUGCCCGUGCAACUAAAUGAAAAGCGUUUGCAUGUUUUGGGUGUGCAGAUCUGAGACGCUAAGAGUGUGGGAUAUGCUUGCAUGACUGUGUCUGUGUAUGCAAACAGGAUUGUUUCAGGGUGUGAAUGCUGUGUGUAUGAGUGUGUGUGUGUGUGUUGCAGAAAAAGUCGACUGGGGUGUUCGGUGUGAAAUCUGUGUCAUGUUCGAUGUUUUUAAACCCUCGAACUCCCUGAUAUUUGCUAUUGUAUGUGUUGUAACCCCCAACUAUUCUUGAGUGUCAGUCGGCUUGUUUAUAUCAUUAAAUAAAAGUGACUUUCUUUCAGA
rnacentral:lncRNA from 1 species